rnacentral:lncRNA from 1 species
GAGGAAUGCCCGCCCCUGAACAGGCCUCACUGGUGGAGGAGGGGCAACCACAGACCCACCAGGAAGCUGUCUCCACUGGCCCAGGCAUGGAACCCGAGACCACAGCCACCACUAUUCUAGCUUCCGUGAAGGAGCAGGUGUUUACAUCCCUGAGUACAUUGGGAUGACUGGCAUGUAGAGCUGCUCCAGCUGCCAGUCAGAAUCGGAACAUGCAGGAUACUUGUGCGUCUGCAAGAGCUUCAGUUUCAACGACUCACCCGAGAACUGGAAGUGGAAAGGCAGAUUGUUGCCAGUCAGCUAGAAAGAUGUAGGCUUGGAGCAGAAUCGCCCAGCAUCGCCAGCACCAGCUCAACUGAAAAGUCAUUUCCUUGGAGAUCAACAGAUGUGCCAAAUACUGGUGUAAGCAAACCUAGAGUUUCUGACACUGUUCAUCCCAACAACUAUCUCAUCAGGACGGAGCCAGAGCAAGGGGCCCUCUACUCACCAGAGCAGACGUCUCUCCAUGAAAGUGAGGGAUCGUUGGGAAACUCAAGAAGUUCAACACAGAUGAAUUCUUACUCUGACAGUGGAUACCAGGAAGCAGGGAGUUUCCACAACAGCCAGACCGUGAA